ACACAACACAAAACACAAAACACAAAAAGAACACGCGAUAACUACGAGCGAGGCGCCCCGGAAGGAAAAAAAGGACGGCGAACUCAUGUCCGUGUUGUUCGCCCUCUUCUCUCUUGUUUUUUGUUUUUUUUUGACCAUUUA
rnacentral:ribozyme from 12 species